GAUGAACGCUGGCGGCGUGCCUAAUACAUGCAAGUCGAGCGAACAGACGAGGAGCUUGCUCCUCUGACGUUAGCGGCGGAAGGGUGAGUAACACGUGGAUAACCUACCUAUAAGACUGGGAUAACUUCGGGAAACCGGAGCUAAUACCGGAUAAUAUAUUGAACCGCAUGGUUCAAUAGUGAAAGACGGUUUUGCUGUCACUUAUAGAUGGAUCCGCGCCGCAUUAGCUAGUUGGUAAGGUAACGGCUUACCAAGGCAACGAUGCGUAGCCGACCUGAGAGGGUGAUCGGGCACACUGGAACUGAGACACGGUCCAGAGUCCUACGGGAGGCAGCAGUAGGGAAUCUUCCGCAAUGGGCGAAAGCCUGACGGAGCAACGCCGCGUGGGUGAUGAAGGUCUUCGGAUCGUAAAACUCUGUUAUUAGGGAAGAACAAAUGUGUAAGUAACGAUGCACGUCUUGACGGUACCUAAUCAGAAAGCCACGGCUAACUACGUG
rnacentral:rRNA from 1 species